UCAAAAAAACAGACUGAGGAGGAGAUAGUAGUGCCCCCUUAUAACCUUUAGCCCAGUCGAUAGUGCACUCACGAUGCGGUAGACAGUAGGUUCAGAUCUCCUUCCCAUCUGAUGUGGACCAGAGAUUUGAAGCUGCCUUUCAGCAGAACGCCCUAGUCACUGGGCUAAGUGCUAUUUUGGGGUUGGUAUUUCAGUAUCUUCCAUUGAAGCUGUUUCACUAUAUAUAAAUUAAAUAAUAAUUGGGCUGGAGAAAAUGAAAGUGACUAUAGCUCAGUGGGAAGCUCAUAGCUAUAAAAGUGACUAUAGCUCAUUCUCCUGUUGGGUGGGAGAUGUGGGAUCAAAUCCAUGCUGCAAAUCAGAGGAAGGAAUUGAACUCAGGUCUCCUGCAUCCUGGCAGAGUGCUAUAACCACUUGUUUAAAGGUUAUAUGGGGUGGACACCAUUAUCUUCCUGUGGGGUUCUGUAUGGGGCCUGAUCCAGUAGAUGUGGUUUAAGGCUAAUUCUAAUAAUGCCUACUGGAUUGGGCCCCUCAGAGACGGUAGUGGUGGGAGAACACCUCCUUUUAAGGUCCUGCUGGGGCUUUAGGCAUGAGAGAGUCAUCUGGAGUCAGGACUGGGGCAGUAUUUGCAUGAUUGCUAGCAGAUUUUUAGGUGCUGCUGGGACUUCACGAAAAUAAAUGUAUGGACCUAUGGCAUUAGGCAGCAGCUGCUGAAUCGGUGUUUUGAGGAUCUGAAUUUUGGACUUGGGUGGCCAAAGUGGCAGUUAAAUACAUAAUAUUUCUUCUAUUGUCAAUCUUUCCAUAGUGCUUAUGUAUAAUGGUGAUGAGCACUGCAGAAAUACCUCUUAUACUGCUAGUAGGAAAGAUGACAUGCUCAAAAAGGUACUCAGUACAUGUUGAUGUAGUCCUGUUGGAAACAAUACUGUGUUAACAUGCACUAUGAAUCUUUUAGAGUGCAUCAGCAGGGCCUACAUAAGUCAGGUAGAAUUCUUCCGUUGACCUAACAUUAUCUACAUGGCGGGGGUUUGAUUGGCUUAACUGUGUUGCUCCGGGGUGUGGAUUUUCCCUAUGUCUGAGUGACUUAGCUGGGUCUACCCAACUUUUUAGUAUAGACCAGGCCUUACUGACUCUAAAGGUAGUUUCAGUGAGAGAUUGGAGUGGAAAUGAAGCUUCCUGGUGGUUCCAAGACACGAAUAGAAGGCUGGAAAGGGAGGGAAUAAUUGAAUGGGAUUAAGGGAGGGGUUAUUAACAAAAUGGGAUGCUUGAAAGUGGGAGUUGAAUUAAAUAAUAUUUAAUUAUAUCCCUUUUAAAGGGGAAUGGUAGUAUUGAAUAUAUAGUAUGUUUUACAGACUUCUUUUAGUGCUGUGGUAAGAAAAAUCCAGUUUAGAAUGGAUUCUUGUAUAUUUUGUCCAUAGCUUAUCUGAUAAGGAUGUUCAGACUCUGAACUCUGCCAUUCAAGAAGUUGUAUGUAUUGUAAAUUGGAGCUAGUGGAAUAGAAAUAAGCCUAAGAGUUCUGUUCUUUCCUUCUUCAGCUCUCCUGGUUAAGAAUACAUGUCUGUUUGCAUUAUUCCAUGCUGUAAUAUGAUUCUAAUCUAGUUGCUCCAUUAAUAUACCACCUCAUAGUAUUAUGCCUGGUCAUAUAGCAAUGGUGACUGCUAUAACUUGGCAAAAUGUCCGCUGGAUAUAUGAAAGAAAUGAGUCCUUGAGUAGUACCAAGCUUCAAAUUUUUUUUUUAAAUUAAAAAUACAACUUCAGUUAUGAACGGUGGUCAGAUUUUUCAACAGUUAAUAUUUAUUCUGAGAUGAGUAGUUUCUUAGUGUAUAACUGACACAUCCACAGGUGUUGCUUUGCAUAAGUAUUCCAUAGACUUGAGUUCUUAACUAUAUUAAAAAUUUGGACACAUCACUUAAACCAGAGCUUGUUGCUUUUUGGAUGGCUAUGCUGCUAAUGUUAAUUUUUGAUAACAUUGCAUUGGGUGAAUAUUCCUUAAUGAGCGUUUAUGUAUUGAGAGCAGUAUAAAUCCCCCAUGAUCAGGCUUAGAACAGCUAAAUUAAGUUCUGGAACAUGAAUUGAUUUUCAUACUCCUUGGUGUCCACAGUGCAUUACUGGGAGAAGGGGCAAUGGUCUGGUUGCCCCCUGGCCUGUCGCAGACAAAGUAUGCUGAAAAGAGAUGUUGCAGGAGUGUGUUGUGUAGCUUCAGGAGGUAGGAUGUCACCUUUAUAGAUGCAUUAAGAGCUGAAUUAUAAUAUAGUUUCUAGAAACACCAGUCAGUGUCUUGUUUAUAUGACAACUAGCACAAAAUAGAUACAGUCCCUGCCCUGGCGAUCUUUGUCUAUAAUUUGGCUACUCCUUAGACUUUUUUUAAGGGGGGAGUCCAUCAUUUAUGUAGGAAAAAUUUUUUUCUUAAAGGGUAGCUGCAACUGCUUGUUCUAUCUCUGUAUUUCUGUUGCUAGCAAAAUUAACUAGUAAUGAAUAGGUACAGUUAAACCAGUGCUGAACAUGGAUUAACUGCUGGUGUGGCAAGAGCAAACAGCAUUCAGCACUCUUCCAGAAACUUUGGUUCAAACCUGCUCUUACCAUAGUUUCGGAAACAGCAUGGAAAACACUGUCCUUGGCUACACUUGUACUUAACCCAUGUUCAGCACUUGUCAGUAAUAGGUAACUUUUCUAGAGUAAACAUGCUUAUAAAGCCAUAUGAACUCAAUUGGACAUACUUUUGUAAUUAAUGGCAUAAUUUACUUGUUACAAACUUUUUCAUUGAGUCAACUCUUCAUAGCCAUCUAAAUUUGAAACUUAAUUUGUACUUCUAGUUUAGUUUGACACUAUUUACAACUGAGAACAAACCUAGCAAGCAGGUAAUUUAUGCCCAUUGUUAGACCUCUGAACUUGAGUGUCCACUCAGCUUUAAUUGAAGUGGUGAUGGUGUAGGUUGAAAGCACAGUUUGUAGCAACAAAGCUUGCUUAUGGAUCCUGAGGGAUAAUUUAAUUUGAUCCAAGAUGUGUGGCCCGGCAUUCCUGUAUCUUAACUUUAUGCAAAACUGAGUAGCUCAUUAAAUUGUCUGAGAGCUCUGUAAAAAUGAUCUUGCUUUGUUUGAACUUACUGCAAACAGCUGAAAAGCUGCACUAAAGGGGCAGCUGGGGAUUCCUUGUUAGUGUAAGUGGCAUAGCCAGCUUUACAUUCUUUCCCUUCUUGUGGGGCUCACUAUAAGAGCACAUCUUGAGCUUUGGAAGCUUGGGGGAGUCUGUUUUCCAUUUCUCUUGGAAUGGCUAAAGGUGAUUGAGCGCCAUCCUUGCCUCUCUGCCCCCUUGAGCUUGGUACAGCUGAGGACUGAGUCAUUGAUGUGGAGGGCAUAUUGUCACAGCUUGCACUUUUAAAGAACUGUUGGUGCUUUGUGGAAACCUUUUGAUAACUUUCUAACUAAAAAUGUCCUGCUUUAUUCGGCACUGGCGUACUCAGUAUUCAGAUGGAGUACUGUAUCAGUGUGUCCAGUUUAAGAAAGAUCUGGACAAAUUGGCGAGAGUCCAGAGGAGAAUGCGCGCACACAAAAAUUAAAGGUUUAGAAAACCUGAUCUGUGAGGACAAGUUUAAAAAAAGUGGGCAUGUUUAGUCUUGAGAAAAGAAGCCUAUGGGGGUACCUGAUAAGUCUUCAAAUAUUGUAUAGGCUGUAAUAAAGAGGAUGGUGAUCAAGUUCUCCAUGUCCGCUGAAGGUAGGCAGUAGGACAUAAAUCUGUUUAAUCUGCAGCAAGGGAGAUUGAGGGUAGAUGCUAGGAAAAGCAUUCUAACUGUAAGGGUAUUUAAGUUCUUGGAGUUUUAAGAACUGGUUGGACAAACAUCUGUUAGAGGGGUCUUGGUUUACUUGGUCCUGUCUCAGUGCAGGGCUGGAUUUGAGGACUUUUCCAGAUCCCUUCCAGCUCUGUAUUCCUAUGAGUAAACGCUUUUUUUUUAGUGAAAACUAUCUUUUCACUCUUUAAAGUAAUCCUAGUUCUUAUGAAAAGUAGUGGUUGCUAAUGUAAUGCUGAAAUCCUAUAUCCACAGAACAGGUAUGUGACAGCCAGCAGCAGUGUUGUCUUACCCACAGUGUCCUUGCCAUGUACUUCAAACCUGAUCUUAGGUGUUGAGUUCUUGUGCUUCAAGCAUUUAACAGGCAGGACUGAAGUGCUGAUUCCAGUGUCCAUAUUACCAAAAUCAGUGUUCUGCUGAGAACUAACCUUAGGGCUCAUCUACAUGUGACAGUUGCACUGGUUUAACUAAAGAUGUGACUUUUAACUAGUUAAAUUGUGUGGAAAUGCUUAUUCUGAUUUACUUUAAAGUGAAUUAGGAAUUGGUUUAAGAUAAAUAAAAAUAAGCCGUCUUAAAUGGAAGAAAGCAUCCAUGCAGAGGUGUACAGUGACUUAACUAAAUGUUUAAAAAUCGACUUAAGUUGAAGCAAUAUAACGCUUUACUGUAGACAAGACCUGAACAGUUGGCUUCAUGUACUACCAAUCUGUUUUUGAACCAGUCAUCUAAGGAUGAAGGGGUGGUUUACUUAAUUACCUGAGUCACUCAUUCUGUUGUGACUCUUAUGUUAAGAUUUCAUAAACUUGAGUUCAAGGAUGGGGAAAAGCAGCAUGACCUUUGCAUGGUGGAAAAUAUAGUGACAAUUGCUUUAGAGGAGCCUGUUCUAUUGACAUUUCUGGACAGGUCAGCUGUUAAGGGAAUGUGAUUUCCCCCCUCCCCCCCAAGUCUUUAAUUUAAUCUAGUAACUAAAAUGAAUACUUUAGCAGAAUGUUUCUGUGAUUUCCAGGUUUAUCGGUAGGGGAGGAGACAGAAAUACAUUAAAACUAUUUGCAACCUGGAUUAAAUCUGUUGCUUUGAGUUAAAAAUAAAGGGUGGAGAGUGCUUUGGCAGAAUUGAGGUUAAAAGCGCUGUAGAAGCUUUUUUCCUUCGGAGGGGGAAACUCUUCCAAAGCAUGAGGAGUGAAAAAUAAAUUACCUACCUAUAUUGUAUUGUAGAGUGUAUUCACUUGAUUUUAUUUUUUAAUUAAUUUUCUUAUGAAUGAGUUGUUUGUUGAUCUUGCUUCUAUCAGUGCAAUAAGGUUGGUUUAGUCGCACCCUCUGUUACUCAGGCAAAUAGCAGUCUGUGGACAGGGAAGUGUUUGUAUCCUUCGAGAUUGAGGAUUGCUACUCAUUUCAGGCAUUUCUAUAUUUUGUUACUGUGCCUUCGGUUGGAAUGGUCAGCCCCUGGGUAAAACUUUUGAACUCCAGUAGUGGUUCAGUUUACUCACAUUUAAAGUUAACCUACUAUCCAUAUGCUUUUUACAGCUUUUGGUUUUGUUUUCACCCUAACAAUAAAACCAUAGGUUGCAUGUAACUGUUUUGAUUCUCUUGGGCACUUUUCUCCAUGUCCCUGGCAAUCAUUAAAAGAAAGGGCAGCAAGUACACUGUAUGGCUGUACUAUGUAUCCAUAGCACGUGUAUUGAAGGGCCAGACUUGCAUUGUUUCAUUGAGCCCUAAAUAUUCACCAUAGCUAGAACUGAGAACAUCUGGAAGUUCAGGAAGCGCACAAUAUCAAGGAGAGGCCAGAACAGAGUAUUUUCAGUUCCAAGUAAUAGCCUGGCCAAAUUGCUAUUCCUCCCUCUGGAUGGGCGUUUACUUUCAAUGUAAAAGCUGAAGUAUGAACUAAAAGUCAAAAACCCCUAGAGGAGAGCCUUAUCUGUUGAUCUGACUCCUGCACAUACCCACAACUUUCUCAUCAGCAGUUUCUAAGGUUCCACAUAGGUCACAACUGGCUUGUUAGGCUAAAUGGCAGGGGAGGCCAACAUCUGCAUUCUAAGAAUGUUCAUAGAAGUGCAAUUUUUUUCAGCUGAGUCAGGUAUUUAUUAUGUAGUCAAAAGAUCCUCACAGCUUUUAGAAUCACCCUGACCGAAACUUACUCUUCCUCUCUCCUCCCCCACUCCCUUUGCUGAAAUGUACAAAUAAGGAAUCUUUGCACACAAAGAAAAGAAAUAAUGUCUGUCACUGAAUGGCCUUGCUUGGAAUUGUGGUCUAGUACCAGGACCUGAAGCUGUGAGCCAAGGCCAGUCUUCAUCCCAUUCAGCUGAUCAUUCUGGCUUUAUUCAUAUCCUGUGUAGCCAAUCUAGGGGAGGAAGUUGGAGGAAUGGAUGGUGUCUUCAACCUGGUCAGAGCAUCCUCUUUCCUGGUGACUGAAAACAGCACAUUAUAGAAGAUGUGUUACUGCUGAAACCAGUCUCCAUCUUGCAAGACAUGCCAGUUUAACAUGCUGGGGGCAUCCAUGGGAGCAAAAGCAGCUCGAAGUUUUGGUCUCCUAAAG